AUUAUCAAUUUGACUACGUCUGCAGUGGGUAUCUUUCUUUGCCUUGUUGCCUUGGUAACUCCUGGAUGGGGUUCCAUUCCGGAACUAUUUUCAUUCAGCAUAUUUUACGUAUGCUAUACAAAGUCUGGAGAAUGCUCUGCAACAGAAAUUUACAAUGACGAUUUACCAAUAUACACAAUUUUGAUAGACGUACAACUAGCCGGUGUUCUAGCG